rnacentral:rRNA from 1 species
AGUGAACGCUGGCGGUAGGCCUAACACAUGCAAGUCGAACGGCAGCACAGUAAGAGCUUGCUCUUACGGGUGGCGAGUGGCGGACGGGUGAGGAAUACAUCGGAAUCUACUUUUUCGUGGGGGAUAACGUAGGGAAACUUACGCUAAUACCGCAUACGACCUACGGGUGAAAGCAGGGGAUCUUCGGACCUUGCGCGAUUGAAUGAGCCGAUGUCGGAUUAGCUAGUUGGCGGGGUAAAGGCCCACCAAGGCGACGAUACGUAGCUGGUCUGAGAGGAUGAUCAGACACACAGGAACAGAGACACGGUCCAGGCUAUUACGGGAGGCAGCAGUGGGGAAUAUUGGACAAUGGGCGGAAGCCUGAUCCAGCCAUACCGCGUGGGUGAAGAAAGCCUUCGGGUUGUAAAACCCUUUUGUUGGGAAAGAAAAGCAGCAGGUUAAUACCCCGCUGUUCUGACGGUACCCAAAGAAUAAGCACCGGCUAGCUUCGUG